UCCCUCAGAGCCGGAUUUGAACCAGAGACCUAAGGAUUACUGUUUAUAAAUCUACAGGCCUCCGCUCUGCCAACUGAGCUAUUGAGGG